rnacentral:rRNA from 1 species
AAUCAUGCUAGUCGUGCGAGUUCAUACUCGCGGCGUAUAGCUCAGUAACACGUGGCCAAACUACCCUACAGACAGGAACAACCUCGGGAAACUGAGGCUAACACCUGAUACGCGUUGCACGUUUGAACACGGCGACGCUCAAACGCUCCGGCGCUGUAGGAUGUGGCUGCGGCCGAUUAGGUAGAUGGUGGGGUAACGGCCCACCAUGCCGAUAAUCGGUACGGGUUGUGAGAGCAAGAGCCCGGAGACGGAAUCUGAGACAAGAUUCCGGGCCCUACGGGGCGCAGCAGGCGCGAAACCUUUACACUGCACGCCAGUGCGAUAAGGGAACCCCGAGUGAAAGGGCAUAUCGCCCUUUCUUUUCUGAACCGUAGGGAGGUUCAGGAACAAGAGCUGGGCAAGACCGGUGCCAGCCGCCGCGGUAAUACCGGCAGCUCAAGUGAUGACCGAUUUUAUUGGGCCUAAAGCGUCCGUAGCUGGCCGCGCAAGUCUGUCGGGAAAUCCACCCGCUCAACGGGUGGGCGUCCGGCGGAAACUGUGCGGCUUGGGACAGGAAGGCUCGAGGGGUACGUCCGGGGUAG